UUUAUGUAUGGCAUUAUCAGUAAAGAAGUUCUGAGUAAACACGUUGACGUUGAAUACCGCUUCUCUGCCGAACCUUAUAUUAGUGCCGCAUGCAGUCAUGUCUCAGUUUUAUCUAUGAAAACGCCUGCGGGCGCAGAAAACACUCUAAGGAAUUUUGCAAAUGGCAAAGAUUAAAGGUCAAGUUAAGUGGUUCAACGAGUCUAAAGGUUUUGGUUUCAUUACUCCUGCUGACGGCAGCAAAGAUGUAUUCGUACAUUUCUCUGCAAUCCAGGGUAACGGCUUCAAAACUCUGGCUGAAGGUCAGAACGUUGAGUUCGAAAUUCAGGACGGUCAGAAAGGCCCAGCGGCUGUUAACGUAACCGCUAUC
rnacentral:sRNA from 1 species